AGCUUUGUGGGGAAUUUUCCGCAAUGGGCGAAAAGCCUGACGGAGCAAUACCGCGUGAGGGAGGAAGGCUCUUGGGUUGUAAACCUCUUUUCUCAAGGAAGAAGAAAGUGACGGUACUUGAGGAAUCAGCAUCGGCUAACUCCGUGCCAGCAGCCGCGGUAAUACGGAGGAUGCAAGCGUUAUCCGGAAUGAUUGGGCGUAAAGCGUCCGCAGGUGGCUGUGUAAGUCUGCUGUCAAAGAGUCUAGCUCAACUAGAUAAAGGCAGUGGAAACUACACGGCUAGAGUGCGUUCGGGGCAGAGGGAAUUCCUGGUGUAGCGGUGAAAUGCGUAGAGAUCAGGAAGAACACCGGUGGCGAAGGCGCUCUGCUAGGCCGCAACUGACACUCAUGACGAAAAGCUG
rnacentral:rRNA from 1 species